rnacentral:lncRNA from 1 species
ACAAGGGAUCCAUGGAAAGAGCAUUCCCAGAAGGGGGGCCAGGGCAGUGCGCACAGUGAGGAGAGCAGGUGUGUGCGAGGUUGAAACAAAACGUUCAAAGCCCCCUCGGAAGCCCAUCCACAGGUGUGUGACUGUGAACCGCAUCGUAAUCUCCUAGAAAGCAAGAACAUCAGGCUUACAUUUUCCACUUGCCUCUCAGGGCUCAGAGCUCUGUAGCAUAUACACAAUGUCAGUGAAGACUGAAAACAGAACGUGGAGAGAGAUGUAGCUUACUAGAGCCCUGUGGCUUCAAUCCCCACCAGGAAUGUCGUUUAAGAGGAAGGUGAUCUAGCACAAAUUCACAUUUGCUUGAGGAAGAAUACAAACGUAUUUUGCCAAAGACUGAGGAUUCGGAUAUGACUACGGAAAGAGCAUGAUGUUGUUC